rnacentral:rRNA from 1 species
AAGCUCGUAGUUGAAUUUCGGGCCUGGCUGGGCGGUCUGCUUAACGGCAUGUACUGUCUGGCUGGGUCUUACCUCUUGGUGAGCCGGUGUGCCCUUUAUUGGUGUGCAUCGGGGAACCAGGACUUUUACCUUGAGAAAAUUAGAGUGUUCAAAGCAGGCUUAUGCCCGAAUACAUUAGCAUGGAAUAAUAAAAUAGGACGUGCGGUUCUAUUUUGUUGGUUUCUAGAGUCGCCGUAAUGAUUAAUAGGGAUAGUUGGG